rnacentral:rRNA from 1 species
CCUACGGGAGGCAGCAGUGAGGAAUAUUGGUCAAUGGGCGAGAGCCUGAACCAGCCAAGUCGCGUGAGGGAGUACUGCCCUAUGGGUUGUAAACCUCUUUUGUCGGGGAGCAAAAGCCGGACGUGUCCGGCUGUGAGAGUACCCGAAGAAAAAGCAUCGGCUAACUCCGUGCCAGCAGCCGCGGUAAUACGGAGGAUGCGAGCGUUAUCCGGAUUUAUUGGGUUUAAAGGGGGCGCAGGCGGAUUGUUAAGUCAGCGGUAAAAUCGUGGGGCUCAACCCCAUCCAGCCGUUGAAACUGGGGAUCUAGAGUGUGCGAGAGGUAUGCGGAAUGCGUGGUGUAGCGGUGAAAUGCAUAGAUAUCACGCAGAACCCCGAUUGCGAAGGCAGCAUACCGGUGCACAACUGACGCUCAGGCACGAAAGCGUGGGUAUCGAACAGGAUUAGAUACCCCUGUAGUC